rnacentral:lncRNA from 1 species
UCUUCGGAACUACUGAACGGAUUUCAAUGAUUUUUUCUUUGUUGUAUCGGUAUUAAGCCUGGUCAACAUAUAGGCUAUAAUUUAUCUUCGAAACUUGAAGACCUGAUGCAGAACUCCAACAGACCAACAAAACUAUAAGAGAUACAAAAAUGGUGCCAUGGCAAAAAUUGUUUCAUGUGAUGAGCAUUUUCAGCUGAGAUAAUAAAUUUUAAGAUCUGGAACACCUGAUGUGGAACCCCAAGAGCCCAGCUUCUCUGUACCAUAUACAGGUAUGACGUUUUAGCAAAAGUUGUUCAAUUUGAUAAGCACUUUCUAUUGACUUAUACAAAUUGAAGAUCUAAAACACUUGAUGUGGAACUCCAGGGGCCCAGCUAGACUAUAGCAUAUAGAGGUAUGACGUUUUAGCAAAAGUUGUUCAAUCUGAUAAGCACUCUCUGUUGACUUAUAAAAAUUUAAGAUGUAAAACACCUGAUGUGGAACUCCAGGAGCCCAGCUAGACUAUAACAUAUGAAGAUAUGGGGUUCUAGCAAAAGUGGUUCAAUCUGAUAAGCACUCUCUAUUAAAGUACAAACAUCGAAGAUCUGGAACACCUGAUGUGGAACUUCAAGAGCAAUACUACACUUGAAAUUUAUAGAAAUGAAUGUUAUGAAAUAGGUAUGGUGAAUCAAAAAAAGUAAUUAGUUCUCCCUGGAGAACUCAGUAUAUAUAGCAACGCGGGGUCGCUACUCCCCGUCAUCAGCCUCAGAUGUCCUGCGGUGCUUAUAUCUCAUUAUUAUUGUCGUUAUUAUCUCAAGAGCCUUUGUCCCAAUUAUGUUAGAGUCGACUUCCAGUCACGAUGCAACUGAGUACCAGUGUUUUACAAGGAGCGACUGCCCAGCUGACCUCCACAACCCGGAUACCCGCUCAACCCAACACCCCUUGGUAAAACUGGUCAGACUUACUGGCUUCUGACUACCCAUAACGACUGCCAAGAAUGUUCAAUGUCAGCCGGAACCUACAGUUUAACUUCCCCUCCAAAUAACGGUCAUUGGUAUCCAAAAUAUACGUAGAAAGUACAUACGAACUUAGAAAAGUUGCAUUGGCAGGUAUUUGCCAAAC